UUGUCGUGUCAAGACAAUGCGGGUGGUGUGAUACUUUUGACCAGCAACUUCGUGUUUAGAAACAAUGCAUGUGUUAACGUUCAUCUUUGUCAUAAUCUGGCAUGUUUGGCCGAAAUUGUUUGUUUUUGUUUACCUCACGUAUACCGACGUAUCUCACGCCGUGAGGUGCAAUAGGUGUCCCCAUAGAUUUCACCUUUCACCUGUCGUCGGAUGAAGAUGGUAGCUGCUAUGGAGGUCGCCAUCAUUGAAAAUUUUCUGUCGAUUUCAAACAUUUCGUUUCAUUACCAGCUUGGAUUUCAUUCUUGUUAUUCAAUGCAUGGAUCCUGUUAGUCAACUUUGCCGCUAAAAGUUCUUUUUAAAGGAAGCAGUCAUUCUUACCAAUAACUUUCACAAUCCAUGACUACUCCUGCUUUUGUUACGUUUGUACAAUCUAUCACAGGUUACCAAUUAAAAGAAGGUGGCCUAAAAAGACUAAAGGUAAAAUCUGCCCCGUGGAUUCUAGUGUCAAGAAGUGCGCCCAGUGCAUACCAGGUGGCGCUAGUGUCGUGAUUGUGUCGCGAUUGUGUCGCAACCAAACAAGGGCCCUUCAUCUCUGGCUGUACCAGGUAAUUUGAAAGGUAAAAUCGCUGGUUUAACAAGAAAACCAAUAACUUAAUCAAAAUCAACGUUAAAUUUGGGUUGUGCCGUGUGAUUUUUGUUGAAUUUCUCACUUUCAUUUUUGGCAGAAUUCUAGAUAUUGUUGAAAAUACGUGAUAUCCAUUCCAAAUUUAACGACAAUUCCGAAAAUCAAGUUUAUGUUUGCAAAGGACUCAUGAUUUUUGAACUAAAUUUAAAAAACCGAAGAACAAAGUUGAUGCGCAAACAGAACUUUUGUUUUGUAUAUUUCAAAAACGGCGAUUCUGACGAAAAAAAUCGAAUAUUCAAAACAAACGUUCAAUUUUGAGUUUCCUGAAGGGAUCUAGGGCGAGGAUUUUGGGUCGGAGGAAAAAAAUUUGAGACGAAUGAAAUUUAUUAUUAGGAGUAGUAAUUGCUAUUUAGUGUUCUGCAAAAUGACAACUCAAUCAUACAAAGUUCCACUUCAUAUGACCAGAGUUCCAGAAUCCUUUGAUUAACUAUCCUUUUGAGAGGUAAACCAUGUGCAUUUAUUUUAUUAAAGAAGAGGAAAAUCAACCAAUCAGUAUGUGUACAUGCCCGAGGAACUCGAUCAACUAGAUUUGGCUGGAUUACCCGAACUAAAGACCAAAGAACAGCUGGAUGAGAUCAUGCGCUUGUCACAUGACGGUCUCAAGGAUGGACAUAUUCGUUAUUUGCUUUGCUAAAUGAUUCUGUGCUAAUUGAAGAGCCUUGCGCAGUCUAGCUGCAUCCAGCAUUCCACCCAGAUACUAGUAGAACCCCAAACAUUGUUUUUGACAAGUACUGUCAUAUUGCGGUUGCAGGUUUUUACUAAAUAUCAAGUAGGUAACGGGUUUGAUCGUGUUAAAUGUAUGAUUUUUCGAUUCGAGUCUAUUUAUGUGUCAGAACUGAAAUCGUACUUUUAGAACUUUCAAAACACCACAUAACUUUUAUUAACAAUUGAUUACUUUUACAACUAUCAAAAUCUGGUUAACCAUUUAAAGGAGAACAAAGCUCAUCUUUUAGAUUUCCGCAAUUUCAACUUCCGGUUUUGCUUCUGGUUUUUUAAUGUCAAAUAACUCCUUAUUUGUUGGUCUGUCAGAAAAAACAUUCACAUUUUCGUGAUUCUCGUCCAAUUUGGGGUCGAUUCCAUGCAUCAGCUCAAAAUACCGGAAAAUCGUAAAAAAACGCAAAUUUUCCUGAACAUUUGAAAUUUUCUGUUCAUGAAAAAUCGCGAUUUUGGUCAAAUCCGACUUUUGGCUAAAAACACGUCAUUCCAACCCCAAAUUUGAUAAGGAUCACGAAAAUCCUUCUUGUUUGGUUAUGGGAUUACUAUUUCCUGAGAUAUUGGCUACUUCCGGGAAAUUGUCCUGACAAUUUGCAAAAAGUAAAAAAUGGGCUGUAUUAUUCUAACAAUUUCAAAUGUUUUCUUGCAUGCAUUAGGGUGUUGCAGCUUUUAUUCCGUGUUUUUCUUGCUAUCAACAGUUGAUCCUGCGAGCAACGACAGUUUUAGCUACAAAUGUUUAGCGCCUCGUCUUGCAACUAGUAGUUGAUAUUCUAGGUUUUUAAAUUUAAAAUUGGAAUCAACUGUCUGAGAUGUCGUUACCCCUGGCAGCCGGGGCAGAAGGGGGCGCAAACGUCUGCUAACGUCAAAAUUGUCUAUUUCCCCCCGUCAGCUAAGGAGUACAAAGUACCUAUAUAAUAGUCUUUCUUUUCCUCUUAGUGUCACCUUAGUUAGACUUGUAGUUACUUGUCUCAUCAUUCUGGAUUUACGCAACGACGACAUUUGGUGUUGCACGUUUCUUCGCUGUUUUAUUGUCCUUUGUAUAGAGCGUAAGUUCUUCUAAUAGACCAACAUAUCUGGGAGCAAGGAUCUGCUUAGGGAGAGUGAGACGUCAGCAAAUACAACAACAGAAUCAUAUCCAAAUUGUAGCACGAAACUUGUACAGCUGUGAUACCUCCCAAACACCUAUGCAGUUUGGAAUGCUUGUCAGGCGAAUGCAGAUUAAUGUAAAAGAUGUCAAAUGUUGGACAUGUGGAAAAGGCCUGAUAGGAUGUGUGGGCGCCUUUGGUAACAUAGAUUGGAACAUAUGAUUUUUCAUGUUGGCUACACCAAGGCAGUAAUAACUGUGCUGCAAACAAUCUGCAAAACAUGCUUGUCUGUCCAUCUCAGUGAUGAGAUGGCAAAUUUGUUGAGUAAAUCUGACUAAGGAAGCAAAUCUGAGAAGUGUUCCUAAAAGUAACUUGUCCCAGUGUGAUUUUCAUAGCAAUCCAUCAUUUGUUCCAAAGAUUUUUUUAUGAAGCUACAACAUAGAAGAUUUAUUAUUUUGCAGGUCUUGACCCAGUAAGCAUCAUACGGGGAGCUCCUAUGAAUGAAAGGAACUUUCUUCAGUAUUGAUACUGGGAUAAAUGACUUUGUUCUCAUCAACCUUUAGUUUAAAGAUACCAUUAACUCCUCAAAGACCACAAGUACACCUGUUACUACCACCCGGUUCCAAAUCGAUGAUUGCUUGGAUUCUAGAAAAAAACAAUGCUCGUGACUCGGUGACUAGGUAGCAUAAUGAGGUCAGAAGAUUGCCCAACAUCUAUGGAAAAAUGACUUGAUUGAUGAACCAGCUAUAUUUAACAGGUUGGCUUUAUUGGAGAACUGUUAAACAUUUGAUAUUCAUAAUGUUCGCAAGGCUUUUAAGAAAAUAGUUUUCAUUGCACUGGCGACAAUUCGGAAUGGCGAGGUGCGAAUGAAUCGGAUUAAAAGUCAGCGUGGAAAUGCAAUAGUUCCGCAGCUGGCAAGAAAUGAGAGGACGAUUGGUGAUGAGACAAUUUAUUCUAAUCGCUGUAACUCAUGGACACGUCGACAUUCGUGGUAAUCAAACUUAGAACGUCUGCAAUGCGAAAUUUUUCACCAAUAUAAAGGAAAGCUGCAAACAUAUUUUCAGCAUUUUUAAUAAAAAAAUAAGCGCGUUCAUUCCCUUCAACCAAUUGUUAACGCGAGGCCCCGUAGGAACCUUCCAUACGUCACUGUUAUUGUAGCUGACAGUGACUGUAAUUAUGGCUUACUUAGCCCAUGCUUAUCCAGAGCUGCCUUCUUGAUCCCCGCCCUAAAAACUAUCAUCUUCAAAAGCUUCCAGGUUUGUUGUGGUCGUAGAACAGCAGACGACGAAGUUCAAAGCGGCAUUGUACCAUCGGGCAGAAUCCAAACGGUUGAUGCAUUGAAAAUGUCGGAGCUCUGUUGAUGAAUUUUCACCAGCACUCUUCCACAAGACGCGCGCGAAGCAAACGAUAGCAAAGGAGAUAUGGACUUGAAUUGGUUGUUUACCACCCGUGGCUUUCCCGCAUCCCAGGAUUAGUCUUGUACACCUUUUGCACUUGUACAGAGCGUUCGGGAACGAAAUUAGUUGUGGAUGGGUUUGCUGUUGACAAGCAAGGGAAGGAUUUUUACUACCAAACUAGAUAGGAAUGAAAUUUGUUGUGGCUGGUUUGGUUGUUGACAAGCAAGGGAAGGAUUUUUUUACCAAAGUAGACAGGAUAUUUAUUCUUAAUCCCACAAUGUCUUGACUACAAAUCAUGCUGAAUUAGAAUAGUAUGUUGAUCGAGGCUGGGUGCCAAAGCAAUGGAUGAUAAUUGUAAGCGCGAUUGGAAAUAUCCAUGAUUUAUUAACGUUCUCUCAUGUUACGGUAUUUUAUUAAAGACAAAUUGAAGUGUA